GGUUAUGGCUCAGCGGUAGAGCGCUUGCCUCGCACAUGCAAGGCCAUGGGUUCAAUCCUCAGCACCA
rnacentral:tRNA from 1 species